rnacentral:misc_RNA from 1 species
UAUUUCUCAAAGCGGAAGGAUAAAUAUCAUUGCAACAUUGCGGUCAAAACAUGCAAACUGCACGUAGCAAACAAAGUGUGGAAGAAAAUCUAGUGUUUUGAAACGUUUGAGGACGAGUUUUGUUUGUGUUUGAUGGCAACAUGGAGUCGUCAAGUGGAGGAUCGAGUGCAACGAGUGGAACGUCUAGUGGAGGAUCCAGUGGCGGAUCUAGCAGUAUUCCCAAGAUCAUGGUGUUCAGACCCACCAUGGAGGAGUUCAGCAACUUCCCAAAAUACAUGGAAUACAUUGAGUCACAGGGGGCUCACAAGGCGGGCCUGGCCAAGGUGAUUCCUCCCCCGGAGUGGAAGCCACGGAGGAAUGGCUAUGAUGAUGUCAACAUCACCAUCCCUGCCCCCAUCACACAGAUGGUGACCGGCUGUCAAGGGCUGUAUACACAGUUCAACAUUCAGAAGAAAUCACUGACUGUCAGAGAAUUCGAGAAACUUGCAAAUAGUGACAGGUACAAGACUCCUAAUCACUUUGACUAUGAGGAACUAGAGAGGAAGUACUGGAAGAAUGUCACGUUUGGAUCACCAAUAUAUGGCUCCGACAUUUCGGGUUCUCUCUAUGACGAAGAUCAAAAGCUGUGGAACAUUAAUAAACUUGGCACCAUCCUGGACUAUGUAGCUGGUGACUAUGGAAUCCACAUUGAGGGAGUCAACACUGCAUAUCUCUAUUUCGGCAUGUGGAAGACCACAUUUGCCUGGCAUACAGAGGAUAUGGAUCUGUACAGUAUAAACUAUGUACACUUUGGGGCCCCCAAGUCAUGGUAUUGCAUCCCACCUGAGCAUGGCCGCAGACUUGAGCGAUUGGCUCAAGGAUUCUUCCCAAGCAGCUUCCAGGCCUGUCCAGCCUUUCUACGUCACAAGAUGACACUAAUUUCCCCGCACAUUCUCAAGCAGUACUCCAUACCAUAUAACAAGAUUACACAAGAAGCAGGGGAGUUCAUGAUCACCUUUCCAUAUGGAUACCACUCGGGAUACAACCACGGCUUUAACUGUGCAGAGUCCACAAACUUUGCUACAGAGAGAUGGGUUGAAUAUGGAAAGAGAUGCUUGCAGUGUGUGUGUCGGAAGGAUGGGGUCAAAAUCAGCAUGGACACAUUUGUGAAGCGGUUUCAGCCAGAUCGAUAUGACCUGUGGAAGGCUGGCAAGGACAUUGCCCCACAUCCAGAGGAGGACAAGAGCAGGCUUUCCAAAUAUGAUUCAAGGAAAAUACAAGCUAACAGAGCAGGAACUGUUUGCACAAAACGUCACCCUGUAUCUAAACUGGAUGAUGUGAACAAACGUGGACGGAAGAAAAAGACUAACCCGGAGAAGGAAGAACAGGCUGAAGAGAAGUCUGGAAUUGUUGAUGUCAAGGUAGAAGAGAAGCCUGCCACCGUGGACGAAGAAGAAAAGAAGAAGAAAAAGAAGAGAAAGAAAAAAGACCCUCAGGAUCAAAAGAAUAAGUUCCUGGGUUUGUGGGGAGAUGAGGAUAUGACAGAAGAAAUGAAGGAGGAGUUAAAUAAACAGGAAAGAAAAAUGGAGGCUGAAGCUGCUGCUCGAAGGAAGAUAGAGUUUUAUCUUAAAGAUGUGAAGAAGCAAGAGGGUGAAGCCGAGGCACAGGCUGUCAAGAAAGGACCUACUUCGUUCCAGGCUGCAUUUGAGCAGUUAUUGAAUGAACCACCGAGUAGUAUGCCAGAAAGCCCGGAGCCAAUCACUAAGAAGAUGAAGAAACCAAGCCAGUCUCCAAGUUCGGAUGGAGAACCGCCAGCUAAAAAAAAGAAAGCUGGGCAGGCUGUUCAUUCUGUGAUUCCACUGGAUCAGAUCAAAGCUCUAACAGCUGCUGGUGACAAGAUAGGAUUCCUACAACAACUCAAUGACAUGGAGAGGAAGAAACUGCCCAAAAGUCAACUCCAGUCGUACCUUCAACAAGGAAAUAACAUAACAGAGCUCAGACACAAAAUAGAACAAAUAGCAGCUACUAACGAACAGUUCAACAAGACAAUUUCUGCUAGCUCCUCCUCCUCAUCACUACAUCAGGGAUCCUUAAUUCAGAACGGUCAUGAUGCAUACUCACUACCACAUCACACAGGUGCUUCCAACUGGUCAAGUCCUCCAUCUACAACUGGCAAUGUUGGGUCUGCUGGACUUGGCAGUCAGCAAACCCAUAAUGGGGUGCCGUCUGGAAUAAGGCCUAUAGAGGCUGUCUAUAAGAAAUCACAACAGAAACGAACACUUUCCAAUAUACACAAAAAGCCGGCCAAAGUUAUUCCACUUGCUAAUAUCUCACAUAUACUUGGUUGUCGAAGUAUUUCAGAAGUUGUUGGUAGUGGGGUUUCUGUACAAGCUGAUGUCCCCGACUUGAAGACUGUAUCUGUUUGUCAGACGUCAGUCCACAGCAGUGACAUGGUGUUUUCGUCCUCGCCCAGUAACAACAUGCAUUCAUCUCACCUUCAGCAACAGCUGCAACAACAUCAUGCACAGUCAUCACCACAACCACCUAAACUGCAACCAGUACAGAACCAACAGUGUCCACAAGACACCAUUCAUGAGCAUCCCCCUCAACUGUCACCCUCACAGCCACCGGUUCUGUCUCAGCAAGCUGGCUUAUCCCACCUAUCUCAGCAGCUCCUGCUGCAAAAGAUGAACCCUGAGGAACUUCUUCAGCAGUACCAGCUUAAGCAGCAGAAGAGCAAGUCUCAGCUGGAAAGGCAGCAGCAGCUUUUGCAGAGGAUCCAGGAACAGCAGCAGUCACCUUUGCUCAAGUCCCCAGCGUACAAAGAUUCCAAUAAAACAUAUCACCACCAGUCAGCUGUACAGAUGACAGCCAGUCAGUUGUUGGCUUCCAAUGGACAGACAAUGAAGUCUAGUGUUACAUCUCCAAAUCAGCAAUAUCCAGUCCUUCACAAGGCAGUGUCGCCUCAGCAGCAGAGUAGUACAUACACCGUCCAGAAUGUCAGUCCAUCACUGGCCUCACAGUACCACCCUCAGACCACUUUGUCUGAUGGUAAUAUGUAUCCCACUCAAUCUGCUGGAGUCACUGUGUCGGUACCUGUCAUGAAUCACUCACCUCCUAGAACCGCCAUGCAAACAACACAAGUAACACCUGUGUCCUUCUCUCCACAGCAGCUGUUGAAAGCAUUGUCUGCCCAGGCAGCACAACAGCAACAGGCAAAUGUUGUAAAUGUCCCUAAUAUGGGUGGACAACAAGGUCAGAAAUCGGUUCAAAGAAAUAUUGUCAGCCAGUCGCAACAAAUGUCAGGUGUUCAGCCAGUGACUAAUGUGCUUCGCGUUUUAUCUGGUGUCUCACAGCCACAAAUAGUGGCCAAAUCAGGCAAACAGCAGAAGUCCCUGCUGUCUCCAUCUCAAGCAGCUGCCAUCAAGCAGCAGCAGGCUCAGUUCAUACUCCAGGGAGUUUCGCAGAUUCACCCUACAGGUACUGCUGUGACAACCAAACACAGGACUGUUGUGGGGACUUCAAGCACAGUGCCACAGGCAACUAUGUUAAGGACACCUAAUCCACCAAUACUUGCUACCUCUCAUACUUCCAAUGUGAAAUCUGUGCCAGGAGUACACACUCAAGUGUCCUUGAACAAUAAAGCUGGUACCACAUUAAAUAUUCCCAGUGUGAUCCCCAGCAUCAGUGCUCAGCAGAGUGUCCAUCAGUCCUCAGCCCAGCAGCAGCAUGGAGCAAAGCAGGGCUCAUCAUUUACCACCAGCUACAUAUCUGCUAGCUCCACUCCUGGAACUACUGUGCUGUCUCCUGUCCAGAUCCAGAUACCUCAAGCUGAGGCAGUUUUACCAGGAUCAUAUGAGUCCCCUGCUGCAUUCCUUGCUAGUGCUAAUCCUGUACUCCCAAAUGAUGGAGGGAGUCUCUCCCUGCUUGCAGGAGCAUCCAUGCGGUCUACCUCAGAUGCCAUGUAUAACAUGCAACAUGAUGGAUCAACACUUAGCUUGCAUUCUGCUUCUCAAAGAGACAUAUCAAAUGUGAACUCUAUGUUAAAUGUUAGUAGUAUCCAUCAAACCAACUCCUCGAUGAGUUCAAGAUUCCCUUCUCAGCAGACUGGCGGUGUCGGUAGUUCCAUGUCCUCUUUCCUCUCAUCAUCGAACAGUGACUUCCAGUCACCUCCGAAACUAACUUGUGUCAAUAACCAAUUAUCGAAUAUAUCUCAUGGAGUUUCAGUGUCUGAGCUCUCUAGUAGAAGUUCCAUGCAUCAGCUCGUUCCCCAGCCUAUUGUCCCCGCAACACAGGUUUCACCAACCACCCACUCCUCAGAGCCUGUCAUGCCCACCCUGUCACCUCAGCUCCACAGCUAUGCUUUACCACCUUCCUCCACUAACACUGUAGCGAAGAGGAGCCUCCACUCAAGCUUGUCUCAGAUGCAGCCGUCUUCACUUGCUGGUUACAGUGGUGUUGGAGACCACAUGUAUAUGUCCCAGUUGCCCAUUGCUCGGUCAAGUGAUGAGUACACUUCUGGUGAUGACAGCCUGCUUGGGCGUGGUUUUUUUUGGAUGGACGAGGCGAUGGUAUUAUGCAGUCCCCAUUCUCAGGUAACAAGGAUUCUUCCAGUGGUACUAAUGGUACUGAUUCCAUCGCAUCGUCUGACAGCUCGGAUACAACCAUUUGUACAAAGAAAACUAAUAAACAUAAAGCUAGUAAACCUAACAAUAAGCUAGAAUCACAGAAUGACACUCCACUAUCACUUACAUCGUUACUUUCAUCCAAGAAAGAGUCUGAUAUCAGUAAACCAACAAGAAAGAAGAACUCUUCUGUUCCUAAAACAGCCAACCCAGAAGAAUGUUCAGAGAGUUCAAGCGAUUCCAAGCCCCAAGCUACUGUGGCACUCACAGAGCCAUGGGCUGCACCCAUUCGAGCACUUUGGCAUGAACAACCCCUCAAUUUUGAAGCUGAGAAGAACUUCAACAAGUUUCUGUCCCACAGAACCCCACACUGUGCAAUAUGUGCAGUCUUCAAUCCUGUAGAG